AUUGAACGCUGGCGGCAGGCCUAACACAUGCAAGUCGAACGAGUGGCGGACGGGUGAGUAAUGUCUGGGAAACUGCAUGAUGGAGGGGGAUAACUACUGGAAACGGUAGCUAAUACCGCAUACCAUCGGAUGUGCCCAGAUGGGAUUAGCUCGUAGGUGGGGUAAAGGCUCACCUAGGCGACGAUCCCUAGCUGGUCUGAGAGGAUGACCGACCAGACGGGCACUGAAAAACGGUACCGACUCCUCCUGGAGGACGCCGUGGGGAAUAUGGCACAAUUGGCGCAAUCCUGAUGCAGUCAGGCCGCGUGUAUGGAGAAGGCCUGCGGGUCGUAAAUUACUUUCAGCGGGGAAGCGUUACCCGCAGAAGAAGCACCGGCUAACUCCGUGCCAGCAGCCGCGGUAAUUC
rnacentral:rRNA from 1 species